UCAUCCAUUUCGAAAAGUAAAGCAGAUACGGACCCUUGGCCUACCGUCUAAUAGCGUUCAUUCAGAUUCAAACACUGGAGCGGAGGGAGUUGCCAUGGAAACGGGGCGAUCAACAACAUGGGCAAGCUGGGCUCUCCGUGUCUCACUGCUGUUUUCACUGCUUUUGAAAUGGUUUUCGAACAAGUCCGUUAUCAGAUGAGAUUCUUCUAGUGCUUGAUGGCCUUCUGCAUCCCAGAGUCUGAGCAAACCUCCUGUCCAACAACCUCUCCAUGCUGUAUUUUCAGCAUCAGUCCUCCAGUCUUCAGUC